rnacentral:hammerhead_ribozyme from 1 species
GCACUGCUGAGGAGUCCUACAACAGGACGAAAGGAUCAUCCAGUGC